UGGAAUAUGAUAUCUCAUUUUACCCCCAUAUGAGCCAUGAUACCUUGCCUCUACCGAGGGUCGUCAUUGACACAUCAUUGAGACGGAUCUCACCUUUCAUCAUUGAGCCUCACUUCCAUUAUUCAUAUGGCCUUAUGCUUUUGUUGCUACUAAAAAAAUAGCAAAUCGAUGAACACGUUACCUUAAAAGACGCCUUCAGAUGUCUGUCCCAGCAUCUCCAUUUGGAGAAAUUCUACAAUACAUUUGAAAUACCAUAUCAACUAUAUGAUAAGCAUAUGAUGUUAUGACAUGUGCGUAUUUAUUUUGAAAGAC
rnacentral:lncRNA from 1 species